AACGAACGCUGGCGGCAUGCCUAACACAUGCAAGUCGAACGAGACCUUCGGGUCUAGUGGCGCACGGGUGCGUAACGCGUGGGAACCUGCCCUUAGGUUCGGAAUAACUCCCCGAAAGGGGUGCUAAUACCGGAUAAUGUCUUCGGACCAAAGAUUUAUCGCCUUUGGAUGGGCCCGCGUUGGAUUAGCUAGUUGGUAGGGUAAAAGCCUACCAAGGCGACGAUCCAUAGCUGGUCUGAGAGGAUGAUCAGCCACACUGGGACUGAGACACGGCCCAGACUACUACGGGAGGCAGCAGUGGGGAAUAUUGGAAAAUGGGCGAAAGCCUGAACCAGCAAUGCCGCGUGAGUGAUGAAGGCAUUAGGGUUGUAAAGCUCUUUUACCCGGGAUGAUAAUGACAGUACCGGGAGAAUAAGCACCGGCUAACUCCGUG
rnacentral:rRNA from 1 species